GAUGAAGAACGCAGCGAAAUGCGAUAAGUAAUGCGAAUUGCAGAAUUCAGUGAGUCAUCGAAUCUUUGAACGCACAUUGCGCCAUGUGGUAUUCCGCAGGGCAUGCCUGUUCGAGCGCCAUUUCAACCCUCAAGCUCUGCUUGGUGUUGGGCCACGCCCCCGCGGCCGGCCCCAAAGCUAGUGGCGGUGCCGUCUGGCUCUAAGCGUAGUACAUCUCUCGCUCUAGGGCCCGGCGGUUGCUUGCCAGAACCCACACUCUUAUGGUUGACCUCGGAUCAGGUAGGGAUACCCGCUGAACUUAAGCAUAUCAAUAAGCGGAGGA
rnacentral:misc_RNA from 1 species